GAACAAUUUGACACUCAUUUCGAUCUUUUCUGAAAUGGAAAUAUUAGCGCAUUCAGUUAAUGGUUUAGAGUAAAUAAAUUUAAUUGUUUAAAAGCGUACUGGGGAUGGUGCAGGAGCUGUGUCCUCAGAUGCUGUUGUCACUGUAGGUGGGGCUGGGGGGCUGGGGGGGUUUGGUGCAGGAGCUGGUGCAUGAUGAUGAUGCUUGUGCUUGUGUUUUCUUUUCAUCUUGUGUUUUCCAGGAGCUGGUGCUGGGGAAGGCACUAAUGAUGGUGAGGGGGCUGGUGGUGGAAUAGCUGGUGCUGGCACAGGUGCCGGUGGUGGUGUUGCUGGUGCGGGUGCAGGUACUUCCUUAGCUGGAGCUGGUGCUGGUGGUGGUGUUGCUGGAGCUGGUGCUGGAGACACUUGUGGUGGCGGUGUAGCUGGUGGUGGUAUUGGAGUGGCAGCUGGAGAACUUUGUGGUGGUUGUGGUGGUGGAACUACUGGGGUGGUAGCUGGUGCGACUUUAGGAGAUGGUGAUGAUAUAGGAGUGGUUGCAGUUGGGGGUGUCACUGCACUUGCUGGUGAUUGUGUUGGAGUGGUUGGUGUGGUUGUGGGUGGAGGUGUGGUGGUUGUAG
rnacentral:lncRNA from 1 species